rnacentral:lncRNA from 1 species
GGAAUUGCCUUGGGGAAACCAGCUCAGAGAGGAGAAUAGAUUGUUCCAAGGAAAACUGGAUGGGAGUGGAUGGGGCCUCUUCAAAGAAAAUUAGGAGGCCAUAGAUCAGAGGAGAAAAUGCUAAUUCGAAGGCUGGGCAUGCUAUGGUCGAAGUUUUGUCAGCCUGGUGAGGAGGUUUAGAAUUCCAUGGUUUGUUCAAGGGAUUUCUUGGGCCUACAUAGGCUUCAGUUCAUUAAGAUUAAUUCAAGAAGCUUUGCAGCUUUACCAAUCUGCCCACCCAGGCUACCAACGACUCCACAUGUGGCCAAAUGGAUCAGAAUUAUUUUCAUGACCAAGUGACACCAUGGGUUCAGAAGAGGAAGUGAUCUUGACUCUAGGAUGAACUCCAAACACCAUAGCAUGGUCCCUGAGCCUUUGAUAGUCUGACUUUCUUCCAGUUUUUCAGCCCCGUCUCAGGUCACACUAUUCCCUCGACAUGUAGGGUAGGCAAAUUCCCAGUCACACAUAGCACUUCUUGUAGUUCCUUGAACAUGUAGCAUGUUCUCUAUGCUGCUUCCCCUUUGCUUAUGUCAUUUUCCUUGACCUGGAAUGCAACACCUCCUCUCUAUCUGGAUACUGGCCCUUUAGAGUACUUAGCAGGCUUCAAAUAUCACCUCCUCUGGGAAGGCCUCUCUGUCCCAGCAUCAACCAAGUGCUUGGCUCAUAGUGGUCUCUCUCCAGUCCCUAGAACUUGUGCUUCCAAAGAUGAGGAAUAUAUAUUUUUUUCACUUUUGUCUUCUGCCGUAUCUAGAAAUGCCAUUUGAAAGAAUGAAGGCGGUAGAGUAAGUGGGAAUACAAACUUGAGGCCUCCAGCAUGCCUCUUCCUUUUCGCUGCUUCCCAGAGCAUUGUGGCUCUCACCCAGACCUUCCCCUUGCAGCCUAUAGGUGGCAAUGAGAGUUUUCUCUCUCAAGCUUUUCUUUUCUUCAGGUCUGAUGGUAAUGACAGAUCAUUCAGAAGCAUGCUGUGUUUGGAAUGAAACCAACACAGCAACAGUGUUAUAUACACUUCAGUCCCUAUCAAUCUUGACAGGAUUUUUAUAUGGGGAUUUUAUGACGAAAGGCUUCAUAUCCCAUCACACCUUCCGUGAGCCAUCCGCUCCCAGGGGAAUAUUUGUCUACAAUUGCAAAAAAAAAAAAGCCAAGAAAAUCUGCAAUAUAUCGCUGUUUCCCAAGUAAGAAAUAUACUUUCCCUCCGAGAAGUCCAUCAGUUAAUAUUAACAAGGAGAAAGAGAAAGAAUAACCUGGCAGGAAGCUCUGAAUUUCCCCCAGACUCGAGUCAAGAGAUCAUCAAGGAAGGAGUCUAGCUGUAAAGUACACCUCUCUUCCUCCGAUGGGAGUGACAACCAGGGUGACUGGAAUCAGAGGGCAGCCUGCUCUCCUUUGGCAAACAAACACCCACUCUGGUAAGUGCCUUUUAAUGUGCAUCAAGUCUAUGUCUAGGAAAAGGAUGCACAGUUGGCAAGUACAGAGCUGUAAGGGGAUAGCUUUGACAUGCUGAUAAAGCUUCUCGGUUUACUUUGGACUUGACUUUAUCAUUUACUGAAGGAUAGUAUUAGUGUGGAGACGAUAGCCAUUCUCUGACUUCUCGAACGAAAGCCAGUGAAAUGUAUAUGAACAAAAGGUCUGUUAUGGGGAAUCCUACCCUGUUUGCUCAGUGACUUUGGGAUCCUAAUCAUACAACUUCACAGAGAUAAGGCCUGGAGCAGAGAAAAAGAGCCCACCCAGUUAGGGGCCCCCAGGAAGAUGAGUGAAAGUCAGUGGCGUUAAAAAUGGAAGCUCCUCCAACUCUGAGCAUGUGUGUAGUUUUCCCUUAUUGCAAAUUUGAUAUUAUAAAAAUAGAUUUGCUCUUUGGAGCCAGAUGGCACGCAGUACUUCUGAAGUUAAAUCCAGCCUUAUGACAAUGGCCAUCGCCAAAAGGAACUACUUGACUGUGAUGCCAAACUAUUCAGCUCUUUAUGAGUCAUUUUCAUCAAGCAAGCACUUCUGAACCUCUUUGGGUACAAGCACACAUACAUGCCCCUUGACCACAAUAUAACUGUUGCUUUGGUGCGGUAUCUUUUUUGUUGUUGUGUUUUUGUUAUUUGUUUUUAUCUUCCUCAUUCUUGUUUGAAAAAAAUAAUAAUUAAGAGCACAUACCUUGGUACUGAUUGUCAAUUAGCUUGUUGCCUUACAACAUGAUUUUACUGCUCAUUUUCAGAUGGUCUCAUUGAUUGAUUGAUUGAUGCAUCCACUCCUUUAGCAAAGUCUACAGUUGCACACAAGCAAGAUCAUAGGAUCGGAAGUCAAAAGAUGCAUGUUGGGCCCAUCAAGACAUGAUUUUUUGAAGUCAAGUCAUCCUGGGAAAUCCUUUACAGUUUUCUUGGCUUUAGCUUUCGUAGCUUAUAUGGAAGAUAGUAAUAGUAAUUGUCGCAAAAAAUAUCAUUUGUAAAAGCAUUUUGUAUACCAGAAAACAUUAUGCAAAGACUUUUUGUUCUCAAAGGCUAGGACUAUGACUAGAAUAUUGUAUAAGUGAAUAAGCAUAUUUUAAGCAUCUAUCUAUGUCCAGAAAUUUGUGGGGAGUUUUGUAGAUAAAAAGACUAAUCUGACAGAGAUUCUGUACUCAAGAAGGUUAAAGCCUAUGAGAAGAAAAUAAUUCAGUCACAGAGAAGGCACAAAUUUAGUCUUAGAAUUUUCUUAAAAUUUUAUAUAAAGUAAUAUAUUUGCCAGACAAAGCCAUCAACAUUGUGAUUCUCUGUGAGCUUCAGCCUGACUUUGUGAUAACCCAUGUUUAAAGAUAAUAUUGGUUAUUUUAAGAUAUACUCCUAUAAACAUAAUAAAUUAUUCACUUUUAUUUAACA